GACAGAUCAGUUUUUCUUCGUCCAAGAAAGGUGUAGCUACCCGUUAUCACCAGCAACUGGCAAAAAGUUGUCAUUCCUUCAGCUAGGUCUGGAAGGAUAACCGAUGCCCGAAUCCUUUCUGGAACCUGUCUAGUGUGAAAUCAAGGCAGCGGGAAAGCGAGAGGUCCAGCGUUAGUCCCAUCGAUCAAAUAUCGGACAACUAGCACUGCCAGCCUACCUUGGCAAUGGAUGCCCAUGAAUCCGGAACGAAUGGACUGGAAAGUGUUCAGUUUGACGUCUGGCAAGACAUCUUGUUGCCAAUGUUGUCUAUUCAAAACAUAUUUCAGCUGUGUGCUGUCAGCAAAUCCAUGCAAUGGUGGCUGCUCAAUGAGUACACGUUCAGACGACUUGUUCUGGUGAGCACUAAUAAUGCAAAAUUCCUGUUUUCGUGUGUGUAUGAAUCUAUGCCAAUAUCUGAGUGCGUGGAUGUGUGAAUUGCAUGUGCAUUUGCUGAUCAAUAUCUGCGUCACAGUGUCAAUUUGAGGAUAAUUUUGGGCCAACUCCUUUCCCUUUCUGAAGCAGUUGCAUCUUAUCCUUGACUGAUUCCCUAUGUUCAUAUUGAUACAUGUCCAUGUAGAGUUCAUCGUCUUCCCACUCACUGUCUACGUUAUUGUUAACAAAUUCUCGAAAACCUUUCUACCUCACAUAUUACUUCGGGAUCGAAGAAUAUUUACCUUAUAUUGACGGAGUGCGAGGUCAGUAUAGGAAAUGGAAGCUGAAGAAGAUGAUGUUUAUAGUUUUUAUCACUCUCUUAGUAUUGAGUGCCAUUUAUUUUCGCUAUACCUAAGCAGUCAAAUAUUCCUGCAUA